GGGGGUGACCUGGGUUCGACGGGGUUGUGAGAUCCGGGAUGCGUGUCGGGGCCCGCGGCCCCCGUUAAAAACCGCGGAACCGAAAAAGUGCCAACGAAGGUAUGGCUCUGGCUGCUUAAUUGACAGCCACGUCCCCCCGGCCUUUUCCUGCGGGGCCGGGUGCGGGCGUCACACAGCAGGAUAGCCGAACCGAGUGCCCGAGCGAGGGGAGGCGAAAUCCAGUCGGGAACCCUCCUGCAUGCAGCCUGUCCGUGGGCGGCCGCAGGAGAACCAGUACACGGACUACGCAUGUAGAGGUCCCGGGUCGAGCAUCUUCGGACGCGGGUUCGAUUCCCGCCGCCUCCAUUU
rnacentral:tmRNA from 1 species